ACAACUACGAGUAACGUAUUGAAAGGGGUAGCAAUUAGCCAAUGACAGAACAAAAUACGUUGGCGUGGGUAAAUUAGAGUGAAAGAACAUGAACUAAAAGGCAAAAAGUUCAACGAAAAGACAACUAAAAGCCGGGGUUACGUACUAAAAGGCAACAACUGUCGAUGAGGCCUAAAAACUACAGAUAAUAUACUGUUCAGUUCAAUUCCAACUGUAAGCAGCGGCAGCGGCGCGGCAGCAGCGCAUCUUAAACUGUGGCUCAGCGGCUCUCAAACUGUGUUCAAAGGAAUAAUUGCAUUCAAUUUAAUGGAAUUACGGUGUGGAUUGUAAUGACAAUGGAAACGGGGAAAACAGGUUGGAGGGUUUUCAAUAUGCAAUGCAAUGCUUACAAAUUGUCUAUCCGUCCAGGUUUUUAUGAAAUUCUUUGUGCCCGGCAAACCAAAAUGCUAUGAAAAGAUAUAGAUGGAUAUAUAGCAAAAAAUUAAAUGAAAUGUGGCGGAUGAGAUCUUAGGGGGACACAUGAAAUCGACUUAUAGAUGUGCUAGCUGACUCCCCUAUGCCCUUUAUAUGCCUUCUGGUAAGAAUUGGGUUGACGUAAUUAAAACUCAGAAAUCAUCGUUAAUAGUAAAAGAAUUGCCAACUACGCGGAAAUCUAAAAAAUGAUGGUAAAAUCAUAUACAAAUGUAAACGAAACUUUUAGAAUGGAAUAAUUCAACUUGUUUCCAAUCGAUUGAAAACGAAUUCUGGCACUACAUGCAGGUUAUGUGGCUUGAACGGAAUGUGGGUAAAAACGUGAGCCAAAAGCUUCAAAAUAUAUUGGAGGUAUAUUAUACGAA